rnacentral:lncRNA from 1 species
AACAAUCAGGUGGAGAACAAAUUCGAUCAAAUACUGAUGAAGCAUUAGAACAAAUUGUACCUUGCAGCAGUGCUGUUCGGACUAACAAUGUGUCUUAUGUUAGAGGAUGAAUGACUAUUUGGGGUUAUUCGACUCAACAACAAUAGAAUUAUUGCCCAAUUGUUUCAAUUAUUCCAACAACAUAUUUGUCAAGAUCUGAUGUGUCAAUUAUAGUCUUAGUGGAUUCAAUUUUACUGAAUUCAGUUGGUGGUUAUACUGGAUUCAAUUUGAUGCUCUAAUUGUGUCAGAAACUUCUAUGAAGUAUUCUAUGAAAUUGAACCAAGAGUAGCCAUGGAGAAUACUCCACCUCAUGUUCAUAACCAACAUGGUUUCCAAAAACUCCGCCACAAAAUGUGCACGCGCCAACCAUCUGCAAUCGAGGCAAGACCUCUUGGACACUAGUUGUUAGAUCACAAUCUUAUUAGUUAAUACACAUCAUUUAAUUAUUUUAAAAAUAUAUAUCAUCUUAUUCUUUAAAAUAUAUAUAUAUAUAUAUAUAUAUUAUUUAUGUAAAUU